rnacentral:rRNA from 1 species
GACAGAGGGUGCAACCGUUGUUCGGAAUUACUGGGCGUAAAGCGCGCGCAGGCGGUCUUCCAAGUCAGUGGUGAAAGCCCGGAGCUCAACUCCGGAACUGCCAUUGAAACUGUUAGACUUGAGGAUGAGAGAGGUGAGUGGAAUUCCCAGUGUAGAGGUGAAAUUCGUAGAUAUUGGGAAGAACACCGGUGGCGAAGGCGGCUCACUGGCUCAUUACUGACGCUCAGGCGCGAUAGCGUGGGGAGCAAACAGG